GGACGGUGAAGAUUGAUAUUUGGUCUCGUUCGUCGUAACUGGCAUUUAUAUGCCUUGCCGACCACUCUGAUAUAUCACCACCCAUACUCCGAGUCC
rnacentral:snoRNA from 1 species